CACACACACACACACACACACACACACACACACACACACACACACACACAGAGAUGCACGCCACCAGACGUACAUUCUGGGAGAAUCCAUACUCCCGCACCUUCCACAGCUGGGAUCCAGAGCGUGAUGGCUAUAUACAGUUGAUUUAAGUUAUGAAUGUGAUAAUGUGUGAUAAUAAUACUAUAGCCUACCAAUUAUGGACUGGCGCCAGUGACAUCAAUAAAACUGAGACAUCAAUAAAAGCUAAGAGGCUCUGAGUCAAAUUAAGUCUGUUGCGUGUAUUUCCUUGUGAUCUGAGAUUAUCUGAAAUGAGUCCAAAGCUUCAAGGCGUUCACUGUCUCUUCGGCUGCUACAGUGUGUCCGCUUGAUCUUUGUAGAGCUCUGUUUCCACCAUGAAAGCAGUUAAAAAACUGCUUUUUUUUGCUUUUUUUUAAAAAAGAAAAAAAAGAAAGAAACACCGGUGUGGGCGACCAUGGAAACCGAAAUACAUAUACACUCAUUUGUGCCGGCUUGGCAAACAAAGAGGAAGUGACGGCUGUGUUUGAAAAUCAAUCCACAUCCAAUAAUGCCUUGGCCUGGUUAUUCAAAGAUCAAAAAAUGUCCAUGUAUUCAUGUAUGUAGAGUAGUAAUAUAGGCUAUUCAUGGACCUACAUAGCCAUUCACACAGAAUAAAACAAUUCAGAAGGGAUUACAUGUGGUUCUACUGUAGAACAAAAGCCCACUGGCACCUUGAACACAAUAAAUAAAUGAUGCACAAUUAAAGGGCUGUUUGAAAUGAAAACUAAAUAUUCCGUAGCAACGUUGAAAAGGGAAACCCAUCCUCUCACAAUGAUUAGACGCAUUAUUGCAUUUUCAGUAAAACACACUAGACUACACACCCUGCUCAAUAAAUAAAUAUCAGUCAGUAGGAUCACAUUUAGUCAGCAGUUUUUUCUAUAAAGGAGUCUGUUUUUAGUAGUGACAGGAAAUGUUCCUAGGAAAACCAUUAACGUGCAGGUGUGUUCCUGUGAUAAUAUAAAUGGUUAAGUGUGUACGUGUGUGUGUGUAUGUGGAGGGGGGCUUCAGGUCCGGAUGUUUGCUUACACCGCAGCCGUUGCCAUAGUGACAGAGAAAAAAAAACUGGCCCUCAGCAUGAGCAGUGGCUGCGUCAAUGUGGAGAGUGACAUCACUAAACUUCCUGUUUCGAAGAAAGUCACCCGUUGCUUGCUCGCUGUCAUUCACAAACGUUCGCCCUGUUUCUUUCAUUUUCAAUCGUAGACACGCACUUCCCCUGUUACUGCUUUGUGAUCUCUUUUUACACAACAAAGACAGCCGAGAAACUACAACCACAUAAAAAUGUCAGUAGUUUUUUGCAGGUUUACUAUUCACAAAAAGGAUUUUGCAUACAUUACAAAUGUCCUGUUAUAAAACCAUGGAUACAAAUGUCACAUUUCUAAAUAUGGAAUGUAACUAAGAUUAAAUAAUAUAAAUAAUAAAACAAGAUCAAUAACACAACACUGCUCUGCUUUUAUCAUUGCGUACUUUAUUAAGCCAGUUAAAUGAAUAUGAUCAAUUAUUAGGGCUCAUCUGACCAGGUCUUCCCAAAGCAGUUGUAGCUACAUUUACAAAAUGCCUAAAUAGAUGACACAAAGAUGGCUUUGAGUAGUAGAAUAUGUCAAAUGCCACCUCUUUCAUUUUACUGGAUGCUAUAAUAGUAUGGGAUGGAUUCCAAACACUUUUCCAUUUGAAAUCGUGCACGGGUUUGUCCCAGAAAGGAAAACACGGAAGAGUCAAAUUGGUGAGUGAAGGAAUCGUUUUUGAGGAAUCCGAGUAGAAACAGAUUUCAACCCUGGCACAAACACUACUGGACUUCUAACCUAAUCUCUCUGGCUUAUACACACCUGCUGACACCUUUUCAGGUCUGUGAAAAGGCGGCAAUCACCAUGGGAACACAACAGGUAAAUACAAGCUGCGAUAAGGGUGUGAGGACGUCGUUCUCUGAGCAACACACACACACACACACACACCAACAGACGCACCACACCCCACAGCUGGAUAACGCUCUACUUUCCACCUUUGGCUCUCUCUGUUUCCGCCAUUAUGAGAUAUAAUUGCCAUUACUGAUGCAGUGGCAGACGCUGUACUGCACGACAUUAUGAUAGCGUGACAGCAACUCACUGCCUCAGGCAUUCAGUCUCCAAACACAACACAAGUAAGCAUAUCUCUUACAGUUAAACACAUACACACACACACACACACACACACACACACACACACACACUGUGUAUAAUCUCAGUUCUGUGACACUCUGCUAAGCAAGUCGAAAGUGAUUGUAGUUCCACUUCACGCAGUACUAAGACACACUCUCCUCCACUACUUUUAAUAAAGUUUUCCACAAACACUGGCUCUAUCAUAUGAAGGUUAGGAAAAAUCCAUCAGCCCGGGUCGGUAAGCUAAGGCCAGGCCCUGAGCAAACACACGUUACUGUAAUGCAAACAGUGGCACUAGGAGAAGCGGCCCAUUAGUGGUAAACUUGAUGCAAAGCCACAGAGAGGGGGAGGAGGGCGGCGGCUUACUGGAAACAGGAGAGCUGGGAAAAAAUGAGCCGAGCCCUCCAUAUGUAGAAAGAACUUGGUUUCAAGGGAAAAGGCUGCUAGUCAGUGACACAUCCUGCAAAAUGGAAUGGGAUGAUAAAGGUAUGAAUCCAGCAGCACUGCAGGCCAUGUAGUAAAUAAAGAGCAAUAUUGUUAGCCUUAAAUUAUUUGGUUAGAAAUCUUUCUCUAUAAUAUUAUAGAUUGUUGUUUCCGACUUAUUACGAGAAUUUUCUCCUGGGAUGUUUGUUUAAGGGGCAUGCCAUUUUAUUUGCCAUUGUCAAUAAUGAUACAUCAUUACAGACAGUGAACCCACUAUUAGAAAUUUCCUAAUAAUGCUACAGUAUACGGUUCGUACAAUUUAAGUACAAUUUACAUAAAGAUGGCGUGGGAGAUAUUAGUGCCAGAGCUGUACAACUGCGUGCUUUAAAGAGUACACUUUGUACGUACAACUGCCAUACUUGAUCAACAAGAAAAACUGUGUCUACACAGUUCUGAUGCAGGUCGGGUAAAACCGCGGUUAACUCAGGUAAGUAAGAAGAUCCAAAGCUGAGACUCGCACAACAGCCACUUGAUCCGGGCUCCUGGAAGAUUGGAAGAACUCCACACUUACAUUCCAGACAGAACACACACGCGCACACACCACACACACACACACACACACACACACCACACACACACUUUCUCCUGCCAACACCGUCUUUGUCAUCUUAUCUACCUAUCUAAAAAGACUGGCACCCAAACACUGGCUUUCUCUUUUCUAUGCAUCACUAGACAAAAAUGCACACAAGCCCACAAACUGAUAACCGCAAGACUCUUUAAUUAGAGUCCCAUAACUACUGUGCAUAUCUCCAACCAUUAUUACUGAACAAAGGAAAUCAACAUUUGCUUUCUGGACACACACACACACACACACACACACAAACACACACACAAACA
ensembl:lncRNA